rnacentral:rRNA from 1 species
AUUGAACGCUGGCGGCAGGCCUAACACAUGCAAGUCGAGCGGAUGAAGGGAGCUUGCUCCUGGAUUCAGCGGCGGACGGGUGAGUAAUGCCUAGGAAUCUGCCUGGUAGUGGGGGAUAACGUCCGUAAACGGGCGCUAAUACCGCAUACGUCCUGAGGGAGAAAGUGGGGGAUCUUCGGACCUCACGCUAUCUGAUGAGCCUAGGUCGGAUUAGCUAGUUGGUGGGGUAAAGGCCUACCAAGGCGACGAUCCGUAACUGGUCUGAGAGGAUGAUCAGUCACACUGGAACUGAGACACGGUCCAGACUCCUACGGGAGGCAGCAGUGGGGAAUAUUGGACAAUGGGCGAAAGCCUGAUCCAGCCAUGCCGCGUGUGUGAAGAAGGUCUUCGGAUUGUAAAGCACUUUAAGUUGGGAGGAAGGGCAGUAAGUUAAUACAUUGCUGUUUUGACGUUACCAACAGAAUAAGCACCGGCUAACUUCGUG